AUAGAAAUGAAUGACUAAAAUUUGGAACCUCACAGCACAAGCACAUUGACAUAGGCACAUAGACAGCCAUUUCGAGCUUUAUAUUCUCAACUCCACCCACCUUGCAUAAUGCUUAUAUAGUCAGAUGUUUAAAUUAAAUGUACAUAAAGUCUUACUUGAUGAUUUGUUAUUGUUCUCAUGUUGAAGAUGAACUUCUUCCACUGUCUGCAGCUGCUACGACAUUGCCUCCUCUAUUCAACUGCUAUACACUGUCGGAAAUCAUUGACUCAUUAGGACUGAAAGACCCCUGUAAAAAAAAACUGGGUGGGCUUGCUGGAUUUCUUCCUUGUUGGAGAUUUACAUGUCUACGGAAUGGUACGAGCCAGGUUGCUGUCUGGAGUGACCUCUUCAUGGAAGUGUGGCUAUUGUUGAAGCUCUUGUACGACGAUUGCAUAAGUUUGGUGGACAACUUUCUCUAGGCAUAAACAAGGACUUUCAAAUUGACCAUAUAGUCGGAAAUGACUGGGAAAAAGGAGUUGAUGCUGAUCAAAAUGUAGUUCUAAUAUCUGUACCAAGUGUACAUAGUCCUGGUCUUGUG